GACGAACCGUGCGAACGUUAUUCGGAAUCACUGGGCUUAAAGCGCGUGUAGGCGGGCCGGCACGUCGGUCGCUGAAAUCCCCCGGCUCAACCGGGGAACGGGCGCCGAUACGACCGGCCUGGAGGGGGGUAGGGGGCGCCGGAACUCACGGUGGAGCGGUGAAAUGCGUUGAGAUCGUGAGGAACGCCCGUGGCGAAAGCGGGCGCCUGGACCCCGCCUGACGCUGAGACGCGAAAGCCAGGGGAGCGAACGGG
rnacentral:rRNA from 1 species